rnacentral:misc_RNA from 1 species
GCCGGCUCCGCCGCCCGGCGCUGCCCCCUCGAGCUCGAGGCGCCUAUUCUUGAGGCGAUCUCUGAUGGCGGACAUGAAGGCGGCUAGUUUCUUAAGCCGAUCCCUUUCGGCAUAAGACUCCUCGAGGCGGCGACGGAGGUCGGCAGCACGGGCCCGCUCCCGCUCGAGCUCCGCCAUGGACUCGGCGAGGCGGGCUCGAGCCGCGGAAAGAUCGGCAUCGGAGACGAUGAGCCUGGCGCGAGCCGUGGCCGGCGAUCGGAGGUCGUCACGGAGCUGCCCCUGGCACAUUUUCUCCUGAUUUUUU